GAUGAAGAACGCAGCGAAAUGCGAUAAGUAAUGUGAAUUGCAGAAUUCAGUGAAACAUCGAAUCUUUGAACGCACAUUGCGCCCGCCAGUAUUCUGGCGGGCAUGCCUGUUCGAGCGUCAUUACAACCCUCAGGCCCCCGGGCCUGGCGUUGGGGAUCGGCGGAAGCCCCCUGUGGGCACACGCCGUCCCUCAAAUACAGUGGCGGUCCCGCCGCAGCUUCCAUUGCGUAGUAGCUAACACCUCGCAACUGGAGAGCGGCGCGGCCAUGCCGUAAAACACCCAACUUCUGAAUGUUGACCUCGAAUCAGGUAGGAAUACCCGCUGAACUUAAGAAUAUCAAUAAGCGGAGGA
rnacentral:misc_RNA from 1 species